GAUGUAUUCCAUUCACGAUGCAAAUUAUUGAAUGUUGGUUUCUCAUCUCCCAAUAUCCAAUCACUGCAUCAUCAAUGAUAGUUUGAAGCGAAAGAGUCAUGGAAUGUUGUUGUUCGAGUUAUUCGAUUUUGGUUUGUGCCGGACAUGAAUUCGAAACAUAAGUUUUAUGCUAUGGGAGAUGGUUCUAAUGGAUGAGAAGGGUUUCAAGAUUCAAGCUUCUAUUCGUAAGGCUCUGCUGUCUCAAUUUGAGAAUCAGAUUCGUGAGGGUAUUGUUUAUAAUUUACAAUAUUUUGGGGUUGCCGCUAAUACUGGAGGAUAUAGGACCACGAAACACCUGUUCAAGUUGAAUUUCCAGAGGUUGGCCAUCUCUGCAUGCUUUUAUAUGAACUGAAAUGGGCUAAUUAUGUUUUUAGUUUCAUUAAAAACGUUAAUGGAAUGUAUUACGUUUUUCAGAUUUUUGA